UUUUUUUUUUUUUUUUUUUUGAGAUGGGGUCUUGCUCUGUCACCCAGGCUGGAGUUCAGUGGCGCCAUUUCAGUUCACUGUAACCUCUUCUUCCGGGGUUCAAGUGAUUCUCCUGCCUCAGCCUCCCAGGUAGCUGGGAUUACAGGCACCCACCACCACACUUGGCUAAUUUUUGUAUUUUUAGUGGAGAUGGGGUUUCAUCAUGUUGUCCAAGCUGGUCUCAAACUCCUGGCCUCAGGUGAUCUGCCUGCCUCAACCUUCCGAAGUGUUGGGAUUACAGGCACAAGCCACCUCGCCCGGCCUGCUGUUAUAUUAGAAGGAUGUACCACUAUUAACUCAUCCAUUCCACUGUUAAUGGACAUUUGGGUUGUUUCUACACUGGGGCUAUUAGGAAUGAAGACGUUGGGAAAUUCUUGCUUUUUGGAGGAUUUCCCACAAUGAAUACAUCUCAAUAAUAAUAACUGUUAUAUGCUAUAUAGUAUAUCAUGUUAUAUGAUUAAUAAAUACAUUAAAUUUUAGUGACAAUAAUAAAAACUAAUAUAAUUUUCAUCAUAUCCAAUGAAAUCUUAGUUUUGCCAGUAUUUUAAAUGCCACAUCAUUAAAAUCCCUGCCUAGUCAUUAUGCUUAAAAGCUCUACAUAAUCUCCGAUUUUAUUUUUCUGUUUUGCAGAUGAGAAAACAGCAAGGAAGGCGCAACUCGGCUUGCCCGGCUCUGAUUCCCCGGGGCUCUUCUCCCUAGGCGUGGAGUUUCAAUGCGAGGAAGCAAAGAGCCUAAAAUACGAACACCCAGGAAAUUAAGCAGGGAAAGAGGCCCUUCUAAGGCAAUAAAGAAACACACAUCCGAAGACAGUGGAAAGUGUUUAGGCGUUGGCUUCCACAAAUACAAAGCAGAAAGAGCCACGAGGUGUGGACCCAGCCUGGGCGCGACUGGUCGGGGCCUCAGCGCUGGAUCCAGGGAAGCGCCGUCCCCGCAUCCGCCACGAGGCGGCGCCAGAGCAGCGUCCCCAGCCUGGGCCGUUCGGCAGGCCUGGGGCUGAGGGAGGGGCCGCGGAGACAAACCAGGCCUCCAACCAGGCUUCCUGCAAAGACCAGGUAGGAGAAGGCUCUGGCAGCGGAUUAGAAGAUUUUCCACAGACACGCUCCCCUCUGCCUUCCAUCCUAAAGCAUCUGAAAUUACCUACGCUCCCUGAGCUUCCCUGACCUCAUUUGUCAGCCAGGAAGAAGGAUGGAAUGAGAGUGGGGGGCCUUAUCAGACACAAAGGGGGAAAAGGGUGAUUUUCUGCUGUGCCGCCCCAUUCCCAUAGAAUUUCCCAGCCGGGCAACACCUAGGGGCCAGUCCCUCACCUUUACAGCGAGUUCAGAGAGGGCCUUCGGCCAGCCUGAAGCCACACAGCCACCCUGGGUCCACUGUCUUCUCCCAGAAACCCUGGGAUUUCCACUUCCAGCAGUGACCACGCAGAGAAGCAGCCAGUCCCCAGGUCUGCACCCCGCCGCGCCGCCUGCCUCGCCCGCUGUGAAACAGUGUUCAGAGUAACUAGCUUCCCCUGCGAUAUGCAAGAGCGAGCUUUGCGAGUGGUUCUUCCGGACACUUUUAUGCUUGGGGUUGGAGGAAGGCACUAAAAAGCUUUAAGACAAAAGCCACGUGGAUGUCAGGAGUGCACGCGGGGCGUUCUCCUCCACGGAACAGCUGCCGAAUCAUCGUUGGAAGGGAACUCUGAGACCAUCGGAUCCCAAAACUCAGUCCACAGACUGGGGACCAGUGUACCUGCCCGGGGCCACACAGAAAAUGCAUUUUACUUCC
ensembl:lncRNA